rnacentral:lncRNA from 1 species
GGGGGGUGGUGAGGGGAAGGUGGAGGCCGGCCUGGAAGGAAACCCGGGGGUCAGAGGAACCUGGGGGGCUUCACAAGGCUGGGGAGAGGGGUGUGCUGAAUGUGCUCUGCCACCCAGGUGUCAAGCUCUGGACUCUGGUCUCCAGCUCAGAGUAGAUGAUGCUGCCAGUGGAGACCAGGAGGCCGGUGGGGAGAGCCUGCCUGAUGGGGGAGCAGAGGGGUCCAUGUUCCCUUCCUCAGUCUGGAGACUAUUCCUAGCCUUGGGGCUGCACCUAGGGAUGGACUGAUCCAGGCUGAACCCACAUCUCUGGUGACAUGAGGGGUGAAGGGACUGCUCUGAAAGGUGAGUCCAGCCUCACUGAGGCUGUCAGGCCUCUGAGCAUCCGGCUCCAGGUCACUGGGUGUCAGGCUUCUGCUGGAAGGAGGUGAAGGAGCUUUUCCCACGGUGGCUGUGACCAGGCUCCCCUACCCUUGGCUGCAGAUCCCUGACCCUUCCCCUGGGCAAGCCUGAGUUGUCCAGCCAUGACUGUGUCAUUCAGACAUUCAUUCAUUCGUUCUACAGACUGGCUUGUAACACACCCUGGGUGCCUGACACAGAGCUCAUGGCCAAGAUGCCCACGCAGAUCUGUGCAGCGUCCCUGCUCCCAGGAGCAGCUGAGGACACAGGCUGUCACAAUUGGCCAGACCGAGUGUUGCAGUGGAGAUGGCACAGCCUCGAGUAAAGAAGGGGGCACCCCUCCAGGCAGGGGAGCCAGGUGGGUAAUAUCUGUGCUGAGUAACCAGGCAAACAAAUUGGUGAGGAAGAGCUGGGAAGGGCAUCCAGGCAAAGGGAACAGUGUGAGCAAAGGCCCAGAGCCAGAGGAGAGCCUGGGUGUUCUGGAGCUGUGCGUCACGACUUCCGAAACCAACUCAAGAGAGUUUGUACUGGGUUGAAUGUUGUCCCCCCCGAAUUCAUACUCCCCUGGAACCUCAGAAUGUGACCAUAAUUGGAAAUAAGGCCCUGGUAGAUCUAAUUAGCUAAGAUGGGCUCAUCUGGAUUCAGGUGUCCUUAUAAGAAGAGGGAAAUUUGGACAAAGAUUCGGACACAAGGGGAGAGCACGGUUUGAAGAUGGAGGCAGAGGUUGGAGUGAGGCACCUACAAGCCAAGAAACACCAAGGACGGCAGGCAGCCACCAGAAGCCAGGAGAGAGGCAGGGACAGAUUCGCCCUCGGGAUCUCUGGAAGGAACCAACCCUGCCAACACUGCAAUUUCAGACUUCUGGCCUCCUGAACCAUGAGAGAAUAAAUUUCUAUUGUUUUCUACCUUGUGGCAAUUUGUUACAGCAGCCCUAGGAAACUGAUAGAGAUUUUAAGCAGAAUAUGGGAGUAAGGCAAGGGGUGUAAGGGACUUUCAGGAGAACCCGGGGGCAAGAAUGCAGUGGGACCUCAAAAAGAUACAAAGACCAGGGGCUGAAAAGCCCAAAAUCUUCUCUCUCACCCAGGACCCUCUCUUCCUCCCUGCGCCUCUGCUUCGGGGCUGUCUCUCAGUCUCUCUUUCUCUGCACAGCAGCUUCUUCAAUUGCUUUAGUCCUUUCCAUGGGCUCAAGAGGCCCCAC